rnacentral:rRNA from 1 species
UGAAUAAUGUUUAAAAGGCCGCGGUAUUUUGACCGUGCAAAGGUAGCAUAAUCAUUAGUUUUUUAAUUGAAAACUCGUAUGAAUGGUUGAACGAAAUAUUUACUGUCUCAUAAAAAUUUUAAUAGAAUUUUACUUUUUAGUUAAAAGGCUAAAAUUAAAUUAAAGGACGAGAAGACCCUAUAGAGUUUUAUAAUAUAGUAAUUAUAAUUUAUAAAGACUUGUUAAAAUCUUAUUUAUUUAUAUUAUUUUGUUGGGGUGACAAUAAAAUUUAAAAAACUUUUAUUAUUUUUUAACAUUAAUUUAUGAAUUAUUGAUCCAGUUUUAUUGAUUAAAAAAUUAAAUUACCUUAGGGAUAACAGCGUAAUUUUUUUUUAGAGUUCAUAUCGAUAAAAAAGAUUGCGACCUCGAUGUUGGAUUAAG